UCUUUUUGACUCAACAUUUGAGCUAUUAGACUAACUUCCCGAAGGAGAGAGCUCCAGUGGCGGGGUGGGUGGGAGCAGGGCAGUGCGUCUAACAAGGGCCUUCUGUGAUUUAAGAGGUUAGUCAGUAAACAUUUUUCCCUUUGAUUGGAAAACCUGAAAGUUAAAGAACCCACCAAAGAAGAGCUCAAGAAGGAGAGAGAGAAAGCUGUGCCUAGCAAGACUGAAGAGGGAAGAAGGGGGAAGAAGGAGCGGGAGGAUGGAAGGAAGGAGAAGAAAAAGUCUGACUCGGACAUAUCCCAGAAAGCGUCUCCUGGAGGUAAGAGAGACAGAGCGAAGGAGAAAGCCAGCUCAGAUAAAAGUGGGAAGUCCAAGGAAACCGUGAAAAAGGCAGCAGAGACAAAGUCCGUUCCUAGUAAAGUGGCUUCCACAGACAAAGACAGGAAAGGAAGAGGCUCCUCCAGCCAUGCUCCAGUCACAAAGGAAAAUAGCCAGAAGAGAAAGAACUGAAGGCCCAUCGUUAACACCCAGCAAUGGGUGACCUUCCUGACUCCGAUUUGCUGCUAAAGGGCAGAGGAAAUCCGGGAUUACUCGGACUGGGGAAAUGCUACAUAUUAACCACUGAAUGUGUUUAUUGGUGCUCAAUAAGUAACUUCUGUGAAACAAGCAUUCUUUGUCAUCUCGGUUUCCAAAAAAACAAAAAAAGAAAGUUUGUGUUCUAAAAUGUAAUAACCUACUUUUAUUGCUAUGUGUGAUAUGAACUGUAAUGGUUUUAAUCCUCCAUCAAAUGCUCCUGUUGAGGUAAGUAAGAAAGAAGCUGGAGCCUUGGGCAGUGUUAAUGUGCGGUGACGCAGCUAGGCAGGGUCUUCCCUUUCUACUCCCUUCCUGACUGUCUUGCCUGGCUCUCCCCAACUCCCAGCUCCCCCCAACCAACUCGCAGUUCUUCCAUGGCAGCCCCAGGCUACUGUCCCUGGCAUCUCCCUCCUCAUUCCUUAGGCCUUUUGCCCUGUAGCUCCUUCCCAGUUCGCUUUCCCUUCUCCCCCCAUCUCUCCCAUUCUCUGUCCAGGUUCAGCUCUCCCAGCCUUAGCCUUAUCUCUCACCUUCUUUCCCCUUAGGCCUCCUUAGUUGCCCCUCCUCUUCUUACCUAGCUUGCUGUUUUUACCCCUUCUUUCCAUUACAUAAUAACCACCACCACCACCACCACCACUACUACCACCACCAUAACCACAGAGAGCCUGUUCAUCCCGUACCGGACACAUCAUUCUGAGUUCUGUGUGUUGUCAAGAAUUAAAGAAUUUUGUGUAGGAGAGCAUUUCCAAAUGCUUUGUUUAUGUUAGCCUUAUGGAUUCUGAAUCCUCGAAAGGCUUCUUUUGGCUUCACCGCGGUACUGUACGACUCACCGAUUUUCAGCUGUUGUGGUUAGAUGGCCUAUAUCCUUGUGUUUGUGUAAUGACUAUUUAACCUAUCCAAACAGCCACAAAUUUGAGAUCAAACUUCUUAGCCCAUCGUAAACAAUUAAUAAAGAAAAUAUUAACGAGAGAGACAUUUCUUC
rnacentral:lncRNA from 1 species